rnacentral:lncRNA from 1 species
AACUGGUGCAGCGUCACACCCAGCGCAGGCCCUGGGCCACUGCAAAUCACAGGGCCAGGAAAGCUGAAAAAGUUCAUCCAUCAGGAAGCCCAAAAGCCAGUUGUUACAAAAGCACGCCGGCAGCUUUCUGGUUUCUGUAUCCGUCCUGUAAACCGAGCAUUCCUUUCCACCUCUUGCGCACUGAGCCGGGUGUCAUCUGCCGUACACAGUGAAUGACAGCUUU